AAUAGACUACCCAGGUAGUCCACGCCGUAAACGAUGAGUGCUAAGUGUUAGAGGGUUUCCGGCCCUUUAGUGCUGCAGCUAACGCAUUAAGCACUCCGCCUGGGGAGUACGGCCGCAAGGCUGAAACUCAAAGGAAUUGACGGGGGCCCGCACAAGCGGUGGAGCAUGUGGUUUAAUUCGAAGCAACGCGAAGAACCUUACCAGGUCUUGACAUCCUCUGACACUCCUAGAGAUAGGAUUUUCCCCUUCGGGGGACAGAGUGACAGGUGGUGCAUGGUUGUCGUCAGCUCGUGUCGUGAGAUGUUGGGUUAAGUCCCGCAACGAGCGCAACCCUUGAUCUUAGUUGCCAGCAUUCGGUUGGGCACUCUAAGGUGACUGCCGGUGACAAACCGGAGGAAGGUGGGGAUGACGUCAAAUCAUCAUGCCCCUUAUGACCUGGGCUACACACGUGCUACAAUGGAUGGUACAAAGGGCAGCGAAGCCGCGAGGUGGAGCCAAUCCCAUAAAACCAUUCUCAGUUCGGAUUGUAGG
rnacentral:rRNA from 1 species